GUUGGAAAAACAAAUAGCAUCCUUUUUGGAAGACCAGGAUCCAGAGAGUAGACUAGAGGUUGGCGCCGACAUGCGUAAAAUUCAUCACUGUUUCUGUCAUUUAAAGAAACUACUGAUGGACAAGAAGGGUGAUGGGACCAGCACAAUGUCCUCUGAAAUCAAAGACCAGGACUGUCAGGAGCCACUGAAAGAGGAGGAAUAUAAAAAACUACGAGAUAUUCUACAGCAGAGAGAUAAUGAAAUCAAUAUUCUGGUCAACAUGUUAAAGAAGGAAAAGAAGAAAGCUCAAGAUGCCCUCCACGCAUCUGGCGCGGACAGAAACGAAUCUAGACGGGCACAGAACUCGCCCCUCCCCACAGGGAACCCGGAAGGCCCAAGGACAUUGCUGCCUUCAGCUCCCACACAGGCCCAAGAUGCCACCACU